GUCGAGCGGAAACGAGUUAUCUGAACCUUCGGGGAACGAUAACGGCGUCGAGCGGCGGACGGGUGAGUAAUGCCUAGGAAAUUGCCUUGAUGUGGGGGAUAACCAUUGGAAACGAUGGCUAAUACCGCAUGAUGCCUACGGGCCAAAGAGGGGGACCUUCGGGCCUCUCGCGUCAAGAUAUGCCUAGGUGGGAUUAGCUAGUUGGUGAGGUAAUGGCUCACCAAGGCGACGAUCCCUAGCUGGUCUGAGAGGAUGAUCAGCCACACUGGAACUGAGACACGGUCCAGACUCCUACGGGAGGCAGCAGUGGGGAAUAUUGCACAAUGGGCGCAAGCCUGAUGCAGCCAUGCCGCGUGUAUGAAGAAGGCCUUCGGGUUGUAAAGUACUUUCAGCAGUGAGGAAGGGGGUGUCGUUAAUAGCGGCAUCUCUUGACGUUAGCUGCAGAAGAAGCACCGGCUAACUCCGUGCCAGCAGCCGCGGUAAUACGGAGGGUGCGAGCGUUAAUCGGAAUUACUGGGCGUAAAGCGCAUGCAGGUGGUUUGUUAAGUCAGAUGUGAAAGCCCGGGGCUCAACCUCGGAACUGCAUUUGAAACUGGCAAACUAGAGUACUGUAGAGGGGGGUAGAAUUUCAGGUGUAGCGGUGAAAUGCGUAGAGAUCUGAAGGAAUACCAGUGGCGAAGGCGGCCCCCUGGACAGAUACUGACACUCAGAUGCGAAAGCGUGGGGAGCAAACAGGAUUAGAUACCCUGGUAGUCCACGCCGUAAACGAUGUCUACUUGGAGGUUGUGGCCUUGAGCCGUGGCUUUCGGAGCUAACGCGUUAAGUAGACCGCCUGGGGAGUACGGUCGCAAGAUUAAAACUCAAAUGAAUUGACGGGGGCCCGCACAAGCGGUGGAGCAUGUGGUUAAUUCGAUGCACGCGAAGACCUUACCUACUCUUGACUCCAA
rnacentral:rRNA from 1 species